CGCGGCCUAUCAGCUUGUUGGUGAGGUAAUGGCUUGCCAAGGCGACGACGGGUAGCCGGCCUGAGAGGGUGACCGGCCACACUGGGACUGAGACACGGCCCAGACUCCUACGGGAGACAGCAGUGGGGAAUAUUGCACAAUGGGCGAAAGCCUGAUGCAGCGACGCCGCGUGAGGGAUGACGGCCUUCGGGUUGUAAACCUCUUUCAGUAGGGAAGAAGCGAAAGUGACGGUACCUGCAGAAGAAGCGCCGGCUAACUACGUGCCAGCAGCCGCGGUAAUACGUAGGGCGCAAGCGUUAUCCGGAAUUAUUGGGCGUAAAGAGCUCGUAGGCGGUUUGUCGCGUCUGCCGUGAAAGUCCGGGGCUCAACUCCGGAUCUGCGGUGGGUACGGGCAGACUAGAGUGAUGUAGGGGAGACUGGAAUUCCUGGUGUAGCGGUGAAAUGCGCAGAUAUCAGGAGGAACACCGAUGGCGAAGGCAGGUCUCUGGGCAUUAACUGACGCUGAGGAGCGAAAGCAUGGGGAGCGAACAGGAUUAGAUACCCUGGUAGUCCAUGCCGUAAACGUUGGGCACUAGGUGUGGGGGACAUUCCACGUUUUCCGCGCCGUAGCUAACGCAUUAAGUGCCCCGCCUGGGGAGUACGG
rnacentral:rRNA from 1 species